ACACGACUACAUUAGAUACCCGUGUAGUCCUAGCCGUAAACGAUACUCGCUAGGUGUCGGCCACGGUGCGACCGUUGUCGGUGCCGUAGGGAAGCCGUGAAGCGAGCCACCCGGGAAGUACGACCGCAAGGCUGAAACUUAAAGGAAUUGGCGGGGGAGCACCACAACGGGUGGAGCUUGCGGUUUAAUUGGAUUCAACGCCGGAAAUCUUACCGGGACCGACAGCAACAUGAAGGCCAGGCUGAAGACUUUGCCGGAUUAGCUG
rnacentral:rRNA from 1 species